GGUUGUGGCUCAGUGGUAGAAUGCUUGCCUAGCAUGUGUGAGGCACUGGGUUCAAUUCUCAGCACCA
rnacentral:tRNA from 1 species